rnacentral:rRNA from 1 species
GACGAACGCUGGCGGCGUGCCUAACACAUGCAAGUUGAGCGACGAACCAGGGCUUGCCCUGGGGCAAAGCAGCGAACGGGUGAGUAACACGUGGGUAACCUACCCCGAUAACCGGGACAACCCGAGGAAACUCGGGCUAAUACCGGAUGUGCUCACUGGACUUCGGUUCAGUGCGUAAAGGAAGCUUCGGCCUCCGUAUCGGGAGGGGCCCGCGGCCCAUUAGUUUGUUGGUGAGGUAACGGCUCACCAAGACCGCGAUGGGUAGCUGGUCUGAGAGGACUGUCAGCCACACUGGGACUGAGACACGGCCCAGACUCCUACGGGAGGCAGCAGUGGGGAAUCUUGCGCAAUGCGCGAAAGCGUGACGCAGCAACGCCGCGUGGGGGAAGAAGGCCUUCGGGUUGUAAACCCCUUUCAGGAGGGACGAAGGUUCGGCGGUGAAUAGCCGUCCGGACUGACGGUACCUCCACAAGAAGCCCCGGCUAACUACGUG